rnacentral:lncRNA from 1 species
UCCUGCCGGUUGCUGUACCAUCGACAUGCAAGUCGAUAUUAACUAUUACAACAUGAUCAUCUCAUACAUCCAAUAUAUCACAUCACGUUAUUGGUCAUAUCAUAUCACAAGCAUACCCUGCAAAAACAAGUUAGACGUCCUCUAAUUUGUUGUUGCAUGUUUUACAUGGCUUCCUAUGGGUAUCUAGUAUGAUCGCACCUUACUUACGCAAAAACCACAACGGAGAUGUGCAAAUUGCUAUAUAACCUCUCCAAGGAUCGCCUCGGUCAAAACCAAUUCAACUAAAGUUGAAGAAACCGACACCCGCCAGUCAUCUUUAUGCAACGAGGUUGCAUGUCAAUCGAUGAAACUAGUAUUUCGUAAGCGUACGAAUAAUAUCGGUCCGGGCCGCUUCAAUCCAACAAUACCGCCGAAUCGAG